rnacentral:misc_RNA from 1 species
GAUGAAGAACGUAGCGAAAUGCGAUACGUAAUGUGAAUUGCAGAAUUCAGUGAAUCAUCGAAUCUUUGAACGCAUAUUGCGCUCUUUGGUAUUCCGAAGAGCAUGCUUGUUUGAGUAUCAGUAAACACCUCAACCUCUUCUUGAUUUUUCAAAAGGAGGGUGGACUUGAGCUAUCCCAACAACCUUUACCGGUCGGCGGGCGGCUUGAAAUGCAGGUGCAGCUGGACUUUUAUCUGAGCUAAAAGCAUAUCUAUUUAGUCCUAGUCAAACAGGAUUAUUACUUUUGCUGCAGCUAACAUAAAGGAUAAUUGUCCUCUUUGCUGACUGAUGCAGGAUUUUACGACACUUUAUGUGUUGUUCAACUCGAUCUCAAAUCAAGUAAGACUACCCGCUGAACUUAAGCAUAUCAAUAAGCGGAGGA